rnacentral:rRNA from 1 species
GCGGUAAUUUUAUCAACAAUAGCGGAGGAAAAGAAACCAACCGGGAUUGCCUCAGUAACGGCGAGUGAAGCGGCAAGAGCUCAAAUUUGAAAUCUGGCCCCCUGGGGGUCCGAGUUGUAAUUUGCAGAGGAUGCUUCGGGUGCGGUCCCCAUCUAAGUGCCCUGGAACGGGCCGUCAUAGAGGGUGAGAAUCCCGUCUGGGAUGGGCGGCCGUGCCCGUGUGAAGCUCCUUCGACGAGUCGAGUUGUUUGGGAAUGCAGCUCUAAGCGGGUGGUAAAUUUCAUCUAAAGCUAAAUACUGGCCGGAGACCGAUAGCGCACAAGUAGAGUGAUCGAAAGAUGAAAAGCACUUUGAAAAGAGAGUUAAACAGCACGUGAAAUUGUUGAAAGGGAAGCGUUGUCCACCAGACUCGCCCGGGGGGGUUCAGCCGGCACUCGUGCCGGUGUACUCCUCUCCGGGCGGGCCAGCAUCGGUUUGGGCGGCUGGUGAAAGGCCCCGGGAAUGUAACACCCUCCGGGGUGCCUUAUAGCCCGGGGUGCCAUGCAGCCAGCCUGGACCGAGGCCCGCGCUUCGGCGAGGAUGCUGGCGUAAUGGUGGUCAACGGCCCGUCUUGAAACACGGACCAAGGAGUCUAACAUCUAUGCGAGUGUUCGGGUGUCAAACCCGUCCGCGCAGUGAAAGCGAACGGAGGUGGGAGCCCCCCGGGGUGCACCAUCGACCGAUCCUGAUGUCUUCGGAUGGAUUUGAGUAAGAGCAUAGCUGUUGGGACCCGAAAGAUGGUGAACUAUGCCUGAAUAGGGCGAAGCCAGAGGAAACUCUGGUGGAGGCUCGCAGCGGUUCUGACGUGCAAAUCGAUCGUCAAAUUUGGGUAUAGGGGCGAAAGACUAAUCGAACCAUCUGGUAGCUGGUCCUGCGAGAUUUCUCCUCACGGAAAAGUGGGA